rnacentral:rRNA from 1 species
AAGCGGUGAUUAUGUGGAUUAAUUCGAUGCAACGCGAAAAACCUUACCUACCCUUGACAUGCUAGGAACUUGCCAGAGAUGGCUUGGUGCCCGAAAGGGAACCUAGACACAGGUGCUGCAUGGCUGUCGUCAGCUCGUGUCGUGAGAUGUUGGGUUAAGUCCCGCAACGAGCGCAACCCUUGUCAUUAGUUGCCAUCAUUUGGUUGGGCACUCUAAUGAGACUGCCGGUGACAAACCGGAGGAAGGUGGGGAUGACGUCAAGUCCUCAUGGCCCUUAUGGGUAGGGCUUCACACGUCAUACAAUGGUCGGUACAGAGGGUUGCCAACCCGCGAGGGGGAGCUAAUCCCACAAAGCCGAUCGUAGUCCGGAUCGCAGUCUGCAACUCGACUGCGUGAAGUCGGAAUCGCUAGUAAUCGUGGAUCAGCAUGUCACGGUGAAUACGUUCCCGGGUCUU